AAAGCGGUCACUUUUGAUCCGUGCCGUAGUGUGUUUUUUAAGUAGAUCAUAAGUUAGUAAAGCUCAGUAUCGUCUAUCUUGUGAGAAAAUUGUGCAAGUGCAGAUCCGUGUUAGAAGAGGUCCGUGGCAGCAUUGGUGAAGCCGACACACUACCCCCUAUUACUACGACCGUUUUUGACCCCACGCAACGGCUACAAAGGUUCCCGGGGUACACUUGGCCGGAGAAGGUUGCGAACCGUCUAUUGCGCACCUUUGGCAGGCGAAGCCAACCACCGCAAAUCACCGUAAUCAACCACCGAAAACACCAUCAAUUUUUCAUCGUUUCAUCGUCCUCCUACGGCAUAGCAGCAAAUCGCCGUUGUCGUCGUCAUCGUCAAGCAAAGUACCGACGGCGCAUCAACUUUUCGUUUGCGCGCCAGGAGGACCAUCGGCGCUUGUACCGCGCCCACGCGUAAGCCCGCGCACCGUAUGAGGGAGUGAGAGACCAGCAACAUCGACGCAAUUAGCCGUCCGUCGGCGUGA